UACGGGGGGGGCAAGCGUUGUUCGGAAUUACUGGGCGUAAAGGGCCCGUAGGCGGCCAACUAAGUCCGACGUGAAAUCCCAAGGCUUAACCUUGGAACUGCGUCGGAUACUGGAUGGCUUGAAUUCGGGAGAGGGAUGCAGAAUUCCAGGUGUAGCGGUGAAAUGCGUAGAUAUCUGGAGGAACACCGGUGGCGAAGGCGGCAUCCUGGACCACGACUGACGCUGAGGAGCGAAAGCCAGGGGAGCAAACGGG
rnacentral:rRNA from 1 species